rnacentral:rRNA from 1 species
CACGUAGGCGGCUUUGUAAGUUAGAGGUGAAAGCCCGGAGCUCAACUCCGGAAUUGCCUUUAAGACUGCAUCGCUUGAACAUCGGAGAGGUGAGUGGAAUUCCGAGUGUAGAGGUGAAAUUCGUAGAUAUUCGGAAGAACACCAGUGGCGAAGGCGACUCACUGGACGAUUGUUGACGCUGAGGUGCGAAAGCGUGGGGAGCAAACA